CCUACGGGAGACAGCAGUGGGGAAUAUUGGGCAAUGGAGGAAACUCUGACCCAGCAACGCCGCGUGAAUGAAGAAGGUCUUCGGAUUGUAAACUUCUUUAGUCAGGGACGAAUAAAAUGGCGGUACAUGAAUAAUAAGCUCCGGCGAACUUCGUGCCAGCAGCCGCGGUACUACGUAAGGAGGCAGCGGUGGUCGGAAUGACUGGGCGUAAAGGAUGUGUAAGGGGUUAUAAAAGUUAGAAGUGAAAUACCCAGAGCUUAACUCGGGUGCUGCUUCUAAAACUGUAAGACUUGAGUGCAGGAGAGGUGAGUGGAAUUCCUAGUGUAGCGGUGGAAUGCGUAGAUAUUAAGAGGAACA
rnacentral:rRNA from 1 species